GAUGAAGAACGUAGUGAAAUGCGAUAAGUAAUGCGAAUUGCAGAAUUCAGUGAGUCAUCGAAUCUUUGAACGCACAUUGCGCCCUGUGGUAAUCCGCAGGGCAUGCCUGUUCGAGCGUCAUUUCAACCCUCAAGCUCUGCUUGGUGUUGGGCCCUGCCCGCUGCGGCCGGCCCUAAAGACAGUGGCGGUGCCGCCUGGCCCUGAGCGUAGUACAUCUCUCGCUCCAGUGCCCGGUGGUAGCCUGCCAGAACCCCAACUCUCGUGGUUGACCUCGGAUCAGGUAGGGAUACCCGCUGAACUUAAGCAUAUCAAUAAGCGGAGGA
rnacentral:misc_RNA from 1 species